UUUUUCAGAAGCACUAUUCUACAAAAUGAGUAAAUCAAGAGUAAGUAUUUUUGGUGUGGCAUUUUGAAACAGAGCUAUGAAGAUGCAAAUGAGAGCCUCAACAGAUAAACAUCAGACAUUUCUCUCCACAUACAGAUCCAGUACAGAGUGGACCUCAAUAUUGGAAGGUGAACUUCAGUGAAAAAAGAAAGAAGUGAAUACCCAAGAAACAUGAUGGCUGUUUCCUGUUUUAUCUUCUUCAUUGUAUGAUUUCUUGCAUUCAUUGAAAUUCUGUGCUCCUGAUAUUUAUCAAAAACCAGUCAGACAAGAUGAGCCUUCUCACUAAGG